rnacentral:rRNA from 1 species
GAUGAACGCUGGCGGCGUGCCUAAUACAUGCAAGUCGAGCGAACAGACGAGGAGCUUGCUCCUCUGACGUUAGCGGCGGACGGGUGAGUAACACGUGGAUAACCUACCUAUAAGACUGGGAUAACUUCGGGAAACCGGAGCUAACACCGGAUAAUAUCUUGAACCGCAUUGUUCAAUAGUGAAAGACGGUUUUGCUGUCACUUAUAGAUGGAUCCGCGCCGGAUUAGCUAGUUGGUAAGGUAACGGCUUACCAAGGCGACGAUGCGUAGCCGACCUGAGAGGGUGAGCGACCACACGGGAAAAGAGACACGGUCCAGAGUCCUACGGGAGGCAGCAGUGGGGAAUCUUCCGCAAUAGGAGAAAGCAUGACGGAGCAAGGCGGCGUGAGUGACGAAGAUCUUCGGGUCGGAAAACUCUGUUAUUAGGGAAGAACAUAUGUGUAAGUAACUAUACACGUCUUGACGGUACCUGAUCAGAAAGCCACGGCUAACUACGUG